GGAGGUUUGUGGGGGGCUUAAAAAGUUUAAACAGGGGGCCCGAAAAUUUUUCCCCUUGCCAAUUUGGAUUAAUACCUCAUACCAUCAUGACCCGGCAUCGGGAUAUGAUUAAAGUCACAUCGGUGGAAGAUGAGCAUGCGUCCCAUUAUCUAUUUGGUAAGGUAACGGCUUACCGAGGCUACAAUGGGUAGGGGUCCUGAGAGGGAGAUCCCCCACACUGGUACUGAGACACGGACCAGACUCCUACGGGAGGCAGCAGUGAGGAAUAUUGGUCAAUGGGCGCAAGCCUGAACCACCCAUGCCGCGUGCAGGAUGACGGUCCUAUGGAUUGUAAACUGCUUUUGUACGGGAAGAAACCCUCCUACGUGUAGGAGCUUGACGGUACCGUAAGAAUAAGGAUCGGCUAACUCCGUGCCUGUGCCGCGGUAAUACGGAGGAUCCAAGCGUUAUCCGGAAUCAUUGGGUUUAAAGGGUCUGUAGGCGGUCUUGUAAUUCAUUGGUGAAAGCCCAUCGCUCAACGGUGGAACGGCCAUUGAUACUGCUGGACUUGAAUUAUUGGGAAGCAACUAGAAUAUGUAGUGUACCGGUGAAAUGCUUAGAGAUUACAUGGAAUACCGAUUGCGAAGGCAGGUUGCUACCAAUGGAUUGACGCUGAUGGACGAAAGCGUGGGUAGCGAACAGGAUUAGAUACCCUGGUACUCCACGCCGUAGACGAUGGAUACUAUCUGUUGGGCGCAGGUUCCGUGGCUAAUCGAAAGUGAUACGUAUCCCACCUGGGGAGUACGAACGCAAGUUUGACACUCAGGGAAUUGACGGGGGACCCGCACAAGCGGUUGGACCAUGGUGGUUUAAUUCGAUGAUACGCGAGGAACCUUACCAAGG
rnacentral:rRNA from 1 species